rnacentral:rRNA from 1 species
GUGUCAGCAGCCGCGGUAAGACGAACUGCCCAAACGUUGUUCGGAAUCACUGGGCUUAAAGGGCGCGUAGGCGGCGAAUCAAGUCAGGGGUGAAAUCCGGCAGCUUAACUGUCGAAGUGCCUUUGAUACUGGUUUGCUCGAGGGAGGUAGGGGUGUGUGGAACUUCUGGUGGAGCGGUGAAAUGCGUUGAUAUCAGAAGGAACGCCGGUGGCGAAAGCGACGCACUGGACCUCUUCUGACGCUGAGGCGCGAAAGCUAGGGGAGCAAACGGGAUUAGAUACCCCGGUAGUCCUAGCCCUAAACGAUGGGUACUAGAUUGUAGACUAAUCAUGGGUUUACAGUCGAAGCAAAAGUUUUAAGUACCCCGCCUGGGGAGUAUGGUCGCAAGGCUGAA